rnacentral:rRNA from 1 species
UGGGGAAUUUUGGACAAUGGGCGAAAGCCUGAUCCAGCCAUGCCGCGUGAGUGAAGAAGGCCUUCGGGUUGUAAAGCUCUUUUAGUCGGAAAGAAAGAGUUGCAAUGAAUAAUUGUGAUUUAUGACGGUACCGACAGAAAAAGCACCGGCUAACUACGUGCCAGCAGCCGCGGUAAUACGUAGGGUGCGAGCGUUAAUCGGAAUUACUGGGCGUAAAGGGUGCGCAGGCGGUCUUGCAAGUCAGAUGUGAAAGCCCCGGGCUUAACCUGGGAAUUGCGUUUGAAACUACAAGGCUAGAGUGCAGCAGAGGGGAGUGGAAUUCCAUGUGUAGCAGUGAAAUGCGUAGAGAUGUGGAAGAACACCGAUGGCGAAGGCAGCUCCCUGGGUUGACACUGACGCUCAUGCACGAAAGCGUGGGGAGCAAACAGGAUU